GUGGGGAAUAUUGGACAAUGGGCGAAAGCCUGAUCCAGCCAUGCCGCGUGUGUGAAGAAGGUCUUCGGAUUGUAAAGCACUUUAAGUUGGGAGGAAGGGUAGUAACCUAAUACGUUGCUACUUUGACGUUACCGACAGAAUAAGCACCGGCUAACUUCGUGCCAGCAGCCGCGGUAAUACGACGGGUGCAAGCGUUAAUCGGAAUUACUGGGCGUAAAGCGCGCGUAGGUGGUUCAGUAAGUUGGAAGUGAAAUCCCCGGGCUCAACCUGGGAACUGCUUUCAAAACUGCUGAGCUAGAGUACGGUAGAGGGUGGUGGAAUUUCCUGUGUAGCGGUGAAAUGCGUAGAUAUAGGAAGGAACACCAGUGGCGAAGGCGACCACCUGGACUGAUACUGACACUGAGGUGCGAAAGCGUGGGGAGCAAACAGGAUUAGAAACCCGGGUAGUCC
rnacentral:rRNA from 1 species